GGAUGAACGCUGGCGGCGUGCUUAACACAUGCAGGUCGAACGGACUUUACUUGAAGCCUAGCGAUAGUAAAGUUAGUGGCGGACGGGUGAGUAACGCGUGGGUAACCUGCCCUAUACAGGGGGACAACAGUUGGAAACGACUGCUAAUACCGCAUAAGCGCACAGCUUCGCAUGAAGCAGUGUGAAAAACUCCGGUGGUAUAGGAUGGACCCGCGUCUGAUUAGCUAGUUGGUGAGGUAACGGCCCACCAAGGCGACGAUCAGUAGCCGGCCUGAGAGGGUGAACGGCCACAUUGGGACUGAGACACGGCCCAAACUCCUACGGGAGGCAGCAGUGGGGAAUAUUGCACAAUGGGCGAAACCCUGAUGCAGCGACGCCGCGUGAGUGAAGAAGUAUUUCGGUAUGUAAAGCUCUAUCAGCAGGGAAGAAAAUGACGGUACCUGACUAAGAAGCCCCGGCUAACUACGUGCCAGCAGCCGCGGUAAUACGUAGGGGGCAAGCGUUAUCCGGAUUUACUGGGUGUAAAGGGAGCGUAGACGGUAAACCAAGUCUGAAGUGAAAUACCGGGGCUCAACUCCGGGGCUGCAUUUUGAACUGAAGAUCUUGAGUGCAGGAGAGGGAAGCGGAAUUCCUAGUGUAGCGGUGAAAUGCGUAGAUAUUAGGAGGAACACCAGUGGCGAAGGCGGCUUUCUGGACUGUAACUGACGUUGAGGCGCGAAAGCGUGGGUAGCAAACAGGAUUAGAUACCCUGGUAGUCCACGCUGUAAACGAUGAUUACUAGGUGUGGGGGGACUGACCCCUUCCGUGCCGGAGUUAACACAAUAAGUAUUCCACCUGGGGAGUACGACCGCAAGGUUGAAACUCAAAGGAAUUGACGGGGACCCGCACAAGCGGUGGAGCAUGUGGUUUAAUUCGAAGCAACGCGAAGAACCUUACCUGGUCUUGACAUCCGGAUGACCGCCAAGUAAUGUUGGCUUUCCUUCGGGACAACCGAGACAGGUGGUGCAUGGUUGUCGUCAGCUCGUGUCGUGAGAUGUUGGGUUAAGUCCCGCAACGAGCGCAACCCCUAUCUUUAGUAGCCAGCGGUUUGGCCGGGCACUCUAGAGAGACUGCCAGGGAUAACCUGGAGGAAGGUGGGGAUGACGUCAAAUCAUCAUGCCCCUUAUGACCAGGGCUACACACGUGCUACAAUGGCGUAAACAAAGGGAAGCAAAGCUGUGAGGCCUAGCAAAUCUCAAAAAUAACGUCUCAGUUCGGAUUGUAGUCUGCAACUCGACUACAUGAAGCUGGAAUCGCUAGUAAUCGCGAAUCAGAAUGUCGCGGUGAAUACGUUCCCGGGCCUUGCACUCACCGCCCGUCA
rnacentral:rRNA from 1 species